UACGUAGGGUGCGAGCGUUGUCCGGAAUUAUUGGGCGUAAAGAGCUCGUAGGCGGCUUGUCGCGUCGGUUGUGAAAGCCCGGGGCUUAACUCCGGGUCUGCAGUCGAUACGGGCAGGCUAGAGUGUGGUAGGGGAGAUCGGAAUUCCGCGUGUAGCAGUGAAAUGCGUAGAGAUGCGGAGGAACACCGAUGGCGAAGGCAGCCCCCUGGGCUGACACUGACGCUCAGGCACGAAAGCGUGGGGAGCAAACAGG
rnacentral:rRNA from 1 species